UACGAGGGGGGCAAGCGUUGUUCGGAAUUAUUGGGCGUAAAGGGUGCGUAGGCGGUCUGAUAAGUCAUCUGUGAAAUCUAUGGGCUCAACCCAUAGUCUGCAGGCGAAACUGUCGGGCUUGAGUAUGGGAGAGGUGAGUGGAAUUUCCGGUGUAGCGGUGAAAUGCGUAGAUAUCGGGAGGAACACCUGUGGCGAAAGCGGCGCACUGGACCACAACUGACGCUGAGGCGCGAAAGCUAGGGGAGCAAACAGG
rnacentral:rRNA from 1 species